rnacentral:lncRNA from 1 species
UAGUAAAGCCACUGUCUUUACUAAGUUCAGGGUCCUUGUCACGUUCACUGAGGCUGUAACAUAAUUGUUAGAAAGAACAGGAGUGGGAGGGGAGAUGGAGUCGGAGAGUCAGGCAGAGGUUAGAUCACCUACAGGCCAAGGUGGAGGAAGAAACAGGCGACACAGGACUCAAGGACAACACCUGCUCCCAGGCAAAAGGAGUUUGCUGUGGGUGCCCCUCCCUGUCUGUGUGUCCAGUGUGUGGAUAUUCUUUAUACUUUGCCCAUACUGUACAAAUGCUUUUUUUCUAUUCAAUAUUUAGAAGACAUUGCAUUAAAUAGCAAGAUGGCAGAUGAACAUCAGGAAAGAACAUUAGGAACAUCCACAGUGUUCCAUCCAGGAACCUUCACCAUGGAAACCCUUGUGCUCAUGGGCCUGGUCUCAAGACACAUUCAGCUGUUGGGGAUCAGAGGCCGCACUCAUCGUAGCAGAGAGGCAGGACCAACUGGGAGAGGGUCAUUCUGUGACACCUACUGCAUCACCGGGCUGUGUGAAGUGACUCAGCUGCCAGAACUCACACAAUAUCAUUCUACACCAAAACCUCACGGGAAAAAUGACUAAAGUUUCAAUAUGGCACCUUAAUUCCUUAACGAAGAGAAAGAAUGUAUAUCUUGUGGUAAUGGGGACCAGCAGCUCCAUGAAUCAAAGCUUUCUGUGGCUCGAUCUAGUUCAGAGUCUGAGUGAUACAUUUAAUGUGCCAGCGAAAGCCUCUGGUAAACAGGGAGCAGUGUUACAGCCAGCAGAGCCCAAGAGCUUGCCAGAGCUGAUGGAGAUUGAAGGGAGCAGGUUGGAGCUCCUCCUGAGGCAGAAUGAGAGGAAGGCUCUCCCCAUCUCCUGAGUGUCAGGCUGGACUCAAAGGGGAGAGAAAAUAUUUUAAAUAAAACUGUCGUUGCAAUAAAAUGUGACAAUUCUCUUCCCUCUCCUUUUUUUCUUUUCUUUUCUUUUUCCUUUUUUUUUUUUUUUUUUUUUGGACACAGGUUCUUGUUAUGUCACCCACCCAGGCUGGAUUACAGGGGCAUGAUCUUGACUCACUGCAGCCUCAAUCUUCCAGGCUCAAGUAAUCCUCCUGCCUC